GUCUCCACAGGGAGGCUGCGGGUCUGUGGGGCGGGCACGGGCUGAAGGGCAACGGCGGUACCCGGCCUGCAGCCUCUGUGCUGGGAGCGCAGAGGGCCGGGGUGGCCGCCUGAGGAGCUCUCAAGGCAGCCUUUGCCCAGAGCGUGUUGCAGUAUGGUGGUGGGUGUGGGGGCACCCGUCUGCCACGCGCGUGUAGGGGGCAGACCGGAGGCCACACAAUCCCGAAAGCAUAUGUAAAUAAUGUUCCUAUUCCUGCUUCCCCGUAAGCAAGCAGUCACCCAAGCGCUGUGUGCGUAGACGAACCCCG